rnacentral:rRNA from 1 species
UCGCUUCGGACUGGCACUCAUCUCUGGACGUAGUGGCGGAUAGGCUCGUGCACCUUAAGAGUAGCUUGUGGCGUACUCAGUGGUUGCAUAGCUGGGUAUCCUGGUCGUGAAACUCGCUUAUCCGGCGUCGCAGGUGCGGCCAUCAGAGUAUUACGAAGCCCCUGCUCAGUCUACUCACAGUGUGGUGAGAUGUCGAUGGGGUGGGUCGGCCUGAUGUUGCACGCUGGACGCCGUAGGUCGUCGACCACUUCAACGUUGGUGGGUUGGGCGGUUCCAGCUUGCUCUCUGCUCUGCGCAGGCUCGUGGGGAGAGCCCCGGUGUGCGCGUGCCGUGUCCUGCCGAUUUACUGGUAAUGUUCGUGUGGACGGCGGGGGCCGUGGUGGAAGGAGGGCUCGUGGCUCUGGCCUGUCACUCGGUCGAUCAGCCUGCUAGAGCCGGGCGUAUGCGCGU